rnacentral:rRNA from 1 species
UACGUAGGGUGCGAGCGUUGUCCGGAAUUAUUGGGCGUAAAGAGCUCGUAGGCGGUGUGUCACGUCGAUCGUGAAAACUUUCAGCUUAACUGGGAGCUUGCGGUCGAUACGGGCAUCACUGGAGUUCGGCAGGGGAGACUGGAAUUCAAGGUGUAGCGGUGAAAUGCGCAGAUAUCUUGAGGAACACCGGUGGCGAAGGCGGGUCUCUGGGCCGAUACUGACGCUGAGGCGCGACAGCGUGGGGAGCAAACAGG